UACCAGUCAGUCAACCUGAGGACCACGACUUUAUUGCCUGCAUUUUCUCCCACAGCUCAUACGACAGAUGCUGAUGGUGAGGGAGAGAGAGACAGACGGAGGAGCAGAGAGAGAGACAGAGAGCGACCCGAGACAGCCACGACCGCAAACCCGAUCCCGACCACGACCCCGCCCUCGCUCCCGAGCCCGUGGACGACACGGCCGACCCCGAAACACCGCCCCGGUCUACCCGUUCCCGGUUCCUCCUUUUCCUCCCCUUGCCUCCUCCCCCGCACUUCCCUAAAUAAACAUCACCGAAUGCUCUUCUUGCAAAGGAAAUGAGCAGCAUGACUAAUUUGCCAGCAGAUAUUGAAGCAUGGACUAAAGAGGAUGUUCGCCAGUGGCUGCUUGAUGUCCUCAAGGUCCCUAAGGAACAUGCUGACAGACUGUAUGACGAGGACACUUCGGGAGCUAGCCUGGUCUGCUUCGAGAAGCAGGACCUGCUGGACAUCGGUGUGAAGCAUGGCCCAGCUAUUCAAAUUAUACAAAACGUCCGGAAGCUCACGGGUUCCUCUGAAAGACCCAAGUCACAGCCGAAAAAAGAAAAAACACCUCAACGGGUCAAACUGAAUUCCUCAGCCGAGGUAAACAAAGGAGUUGGCACCUUGCACACAAACAUUCAAAAGGAACACGUUGUACCGAUAUCUGAAGAAAGCAACACACCUCUGGAACUGAACACUGUUCCAACAAAGCACCGAGAUAAACAUGAAGACACCUUGCAGGUUCCAGGAAACACUGAGAAGUUAAUGUCAGAAGACAAUGUCCAUGAUGAAAAUAAGAGUCUCCUAUCUUUCAAUAACACCAAGAAAAGAAAUGAUGAGGUGACUAAGGCAGAAAUCAGGAUAUGUGUUCCUCGGUCCUUUGACAAAGAUGGGAGAUUGCUGACAUACAGAGAGAACGAUAUCCUUCCUCCAGAAACAGGUCCAAGUAAUCUACUGGACCCGGUGCAUGAGUACAAGCUGUUGGAAAAUACAAAGAAUGCGGGUGAAACUGAAAUCUUGAAAAAGUUCACUGAUGAAGCCUUUCGCUUUGGAGCUGCGUGUAUGAACUCCCGUACGAACGGCACUGUUCACUUUGGGGUAGGAGACAAACCACAGUAUGAACAUGGGCAGAUUGUAGGCCUAAGAGUGCCUGAGCCACAGAAGUUUGUCGACAGGUUUUAUCAACAGCUGGAAAAGCACUUUCAGAAAGAAGCAGAAGACGCCAGAGGCUGCAUUAGACCACCUCAGUUCAUCCGGGUUCUACACCGCAAUGACACAACUUCAGACAAAUUUGUCAUAGAAAUUGACGUUGUUCCAGACAGGCUGUUCACUCGAGGGCAGCAUUUUUAUACCUGCAAUGAUGCCGUAGAUGAAAAAGGAAAACCCUGCAGACAAGAAUGUCUGUUUGUUCGAGAAGGUGCCAGUAGCAUCAAUGUCUUGGCAACUAAAAAUUUUCGACAACGGGAUGAGAAGUUGAAAAGUCUAAGAGACCACAUAGAUGCAUGGGAGACAGCAAGAAAAGAUAGAGCUUCUUGUGUCUCCCAUGAACCUAAACAAAACCAUCAAGGACACAGACUGAAGCAACUAAUUGCACCAGGGAGAAACACCCUGGACAAUUCAUUUCACUACAUUGUCGUAAUAAAUAAAUGUCACCAAGACCUACUCAAGAACUUGCAAUUUUUGAAAGAACUUCGACCCUUUGCUGUGAUGGACUUUGACCCUGAGUCUAAUCUCAGUGGUUCCUGCAGUUUCUUUCGUGAAGAUCACAUAGCCAAUCUUCACUACCCACGAAUGUUCAACACCAAUGACAAUAUCCCCAUAAUCAUUGAAAAACUGAAUUUAUUCCGUCAGACAAGCUGGGUUUUCUGUAACGGUCAAACAAGCGAAGAGAACGAAAGUGACCAACCUCUUCAAUCAAGUGAAUGGCUGAAAACACGUGCUGGUGAGGUCAAUGACAUGGUUAACUUUCUUGGCAGAUCUGGCAUUUUAAAAACUUCAAAGCUACUUAUUAUAUUCUUACUGCAUUCAGCAGUAACAGACAUGUCCAGUCCUCUGCUUAAGACCUUCUGCACAUUCUAUGAAGCUCUACAGGGGGCAGAAAACAUUGUGUGCAUCUGUAAAGACAGUUCUGUCUUCUCAGUGUGGAAAGAUCUGGUGGAGAAUCGUCUUGAAACAGACAUCACUGAUAAAUGCAUUCAUGAGUUAAGUUUGCAAGAAGUCAACUGGACAAUUAUGAGAAUGAAAGAACCCCAAAGGCAGUCUUGUAGACGAUACUUACCUUCCGUUGGAUCCAGUUCUGUCCUCCUAACAGAAAAGGAUGAGGAAUUCAUGACAGUGCUGGACAUCUUGAGUGAAAACGAGUGUGAAGACACAGAAAUUGAGAACAGCGACUCUUUUAAGUCUUUCAAAAAAAAAACCGAAGAGAAGUUUUACAGAGGAGGAAAAGUGACGUGGUGGAACUUCUACUUGUCUGAGGGACCUGGCUGUGUCCCUUUCAUCAAACGAGACAAAUUUGAUGACUUGUACAAUCUGAUUGUACCACAGGAAAGCUACAGAACCCCAUGCGUCAUCAUCAACUUGUUCCAUUACCCUGGCUGUGGUGGAACAACCUUAGCCAUGCAUAUCCUAUGGACAAUGAGGCGCAAAUUCAGGUGUGCAGUUGUAAAAAAUAGUGUAGCGCUGAGCACUGAAAUUGCUGUGCAGGUUUCACAUUUACAGAGUUGUGGAAAAGAGGAGCAAUCAAAUUAUAUCCCGGUUCUGCUCUUGGUGGAUGACUGGGAUGACGUUGAGGAUUUGCAGAGAUGCAUACUGAAUGUCAUACGUGAGACAAGAAAGCAUGAUUGUUUGAGUGUGAUCAUACUAAACUGCAUUAGAACGCAGUUUCCAAAAGACAGCUCCUGCAAAAGUAGAAUAGACAAUGUCUAUAUUACCAACAAGCUCUCUGAAAAGGAAAAAAGGUUCUUUCAGGAGAAACUUAAAGAGAUUGAAGGUGAACAUAAGAAACCUGAAUCAUUCUAUGCAUUCAUGAUCAUGAAAAAUGAUUUCAGUGAAGAGUAUGCAGAAAAAGUUUCCAAAAAUGUUCUGAAGGGCCUGGAUGUCUCCAGUAAAGUAGGACAGCUUCUUUCUUUUCUGGCUCUGUUGAACACAUACGUGGUUGGAUCCUCAAUGUCACUGUCAUUGUGUGAAGAAUUUGUUGGGAUAAAGAACGCUCUCUGCCAACGAGAAACACUGGAAGAUAGAAUGAGCCAAUACUUUGAACUCCUCACCUGCUUCGAUACUGAAGACUAUGGCAAAUACCAGUCCGUUCGAUUUCUGCACCACGAAUUUGCCAAACACUGCCUUGAUGUUAUCACUGAACAUGGCUUGAAUCCAAGGGAAAUCUUAACCAAUUUGUUACAUUGUGAUCUUCUGUACAAAUCUGGCAUGGGAAAAGAUGUGCUCACGCAAAAUAUUAUGAGUAUGUUGAUCACACGUCAUCGGAAGGAGCUUGGAGAUGACAAGAACACUCUGUUCUCUCCUUUAGUUGAACAAAUACAGAAAAGCGAAGGGAACGAUUCCGUAAAAGCAGUUCUAAUUGAUGCUACAAAGAGAUUUGACAAAAAUGCAACCGUUCCUCAAGCUCUAGCGAGACACUGCUACUUGAAGGAGAAGGACUUUGAGUCUGCACUGGAGUGGGCUAAGGACGCACAAAGGAAAAUGAACAACUCCUACAUCGCAGACACGUUGGGGCAAGUCCACAAAAGUCAUCUGAAAUAUGAAAUCGAAUUAGCUCAAGAUAAGGGGGAAUCCAUCAGGCCAGAAGAUUUAGAAAAGUACAUUAAGCUUGCAGCAGACGCCAUAGAAGCAUUUAAGGAAUCACAGGAGCUUGCAAGGAAAGAUGAGUAUGAUGAAAAUUUUGACCAGCGCAACAAAAGGCGGCUGAGAACGUACAACACCUCGGGGUACAUUGGCGCAAUAGAUGUGGCAAUGAUCAUCUUUGGUGUCCUUCGAGAAACACCCUUAUUUGAUCAAAAGGAUGAACACAAGCAACGCUUGCUGCUGCAGUUUCUGAAUAACGUGUUUCCUGCGAGUGAUUUUCGUGCAAACGACAAUCAGGAAAACAAAGAAUUCGUUGCAGUAGUGAAGAACCAUGAGCAAUUUCUCGUUUCUCUCAAGCCACAAGUCAAAGAGGGCUUUGAGUUCUUCGAAAACUAUUUCACAUAUUUGAGGCCAAGGUCUAUAGAGAGAGAAACUGCAGAGGACAGAAAUAAAAAGAAAAUCUCAGACCACUUUCAAACAUACAUUCAGAUUUUCUGUCCCUCUGGAGAGCAGAGAAAGUCAGAGAGAAGCAGCAAACCAAUCCUGAAUUUGCAGCAGCAGAUCGAGGAUGCCCGCAGGUAUCUGGAGAGAGAACGAGCCGACACUUUCUCUGGGCUACUCCAGUGUCUGAAUGAGAACGGGCCUCAAGUAGAAACCAUCGUAGAGAAAUGGAAAUUCAUAGUUGAGAACUCAAAAAGGAAAAUCCUGAGUGAACAGACUAAUUUCAUCUUAGCAAACAUUGUCCUGCACUGCCUUAAACCAAAGUCUAAACGUUUUAAAACAUAUGAAGAGCUGCUCUCUCUUCUGAACGUAGCUCUGCAGGAAAGAGGGACACAUUCCAGUUGCACGGAGCUCUACUACUUAUCAAUGCUGCUCUUGUGGCCAAGUGAGAACAUUAAUGAGAACACAACCACAUACAAAAACAUAUGCACCUAUGUUUCGUCAAUCAAGAAAUCAUUCGGCCGCCGCUUCUCCCACAUGUGUUAUGCCAAAAAUGCCACAUCGCACUUCUACCUGGGCAAGAACAAAGGACUGAGGAGAAUUGUUCACAGGAGAAAGCUCGACCAAACUUUGGACAAAGACGAAAACACCAGACUUUGGUGGAGUGGAGAAAUAUGGAAAAAACCAGAGGUGGAAAAACUGCUCCAUCGAGUGAAGGGCAAGACAGAAAACGGAGAACUUCACGUGACCUGCCCUGGAAAUCUGAAAAUCCCAGUACGUCCAGUUUAUCUUGGCGGCAUCCGGAGCGGAGGCAGCGUAGAAACGGUGUCUUUUUACCUCGGAUUCUCCAUGGAGGGACCGGUGGCCUACGACAUAAAGUACUGAAAUUACAUCCGAAGUGUCGCAGAGCCGAAGACAGAUGGCUGAACCUGCCCAGUGUUCCGCAGCUGCCAGGUGGGACUUUUCUCCAGGGCCUGAUAAAGUGCACCUGGGGGAGACCCCCCCCCC